CCCCCGCUGUUCCAUUUUGGCCAAUCUCCCAGGUACCGACCUGUACAGAGAUCAGAAGGAUUACCCUCAGGUAUGUGAACCAAAGGGAGUAAAAAUCUUUCGGAUAUCUUCGCCCAUCUUCUUUGCCAACAUCGAGUUCUUCAGGAACAAACUUAUAGAAGCUGUUGGGUUCAACCCUCUCAGAGUUUUACGGAAGAGGAACAAAGCGCUCCGAAAAAUCAAGAAGCUGUUACAGAAACGGGAUCAUGGCAUC